UAAUAGACACUCUAGCUCUGUUGGUGCCGUUGCAUAUCAAAAACCUUAGCUUAAACGUCGAAAAAAAUUGAAAAUCUCGACUGUGGAAGAGGCAGAAAAAUAAAACUAAUUUUUUUUUUUACUGUAAAUAGUUAAUAGUUCUUGAAAGCAAGAGCAGCAGCAGCAGAAGAAGCCGUAGCUGCUGAUUCUUCAAGCUUUCGAACUGUACUUUGUGAGCAAAUUUUAAUUGCAUGGAUUCUUCUUUAGUUUUCUCCUCGAAACUGAAACUCCACCAUCACUCUUUGCCUCUCCAAACCCAUUUCCAAAGACGCCCGCUUCUCACUUCAUCCCACUUCCGCUUAGCGGCGGCCAAGAAACCACCCAGGAAAGUUCUCUGUGAAUUCGAACCCAAAGUUAAUGGUGCUCUCUCACCGGACCCUGAUUCCCGUUUCCUCGACCGGCAAAAAGCAUUGGAGGCUGCAAUGAAUGAUAUAAAUAGUUCAUUUGGAAAAGGAAGUGUUACAAGAUUGGGGAGUGCUGGUGGAGCAUUGGUUGAAACUUUUCCGAGUGGUUGUUUGACGCUAGAUUUAGCCUUAGGUGGUGGCCUUCCCAAAGGAAGAAUUGUGGAGGUAUAUGGACCAGAAAGUAGUGGAAAAACUACCCUAGCACUCCAUGCCAUUGCUGAAGUGCAGAAGCUUGGUGGCAACGCAAUGCUUGUUGAUGCAGAGCAUGCUUUUGAUCCAGCAUAUUCAAAAGCAUUGGGAGUAGAUGUCGAGAAUUUGAUUGUGUGCCAGCCGGAUAAUGGGGAAAUGGCAUUAGAAAUUGCGGAUCGUAUGUGCAGAUCUGGUGCCGUAGAUUUAAUUUGUGUUGAUUCAGUAUCAGCUCUCACUCCACGGGCAGAGAUCGAAGGUGAAAUCGGGAUGCAGCAAAUGGGAUUGCAAGCACGUCUGAUGAGUCAGGCUUUACGUAAGAUGUCAGGAAAUGCUUCUAAAGCUGGUUGUACUCUAAUUUUUCUUAAUCAAAUAAGAUAUAAGAUUGGAGUAUAUUACGGGAACCCAGAAGUGACUAGUGGAGGAAUUGCAUUAAAGUUCUUUGCCUCAGUUCGUCUUGAAAUACGUCCUACUGGGAAGAUAAAGUCUGUUAAAGGUGAUGAGGACAUUGGGCUUCGUGUUCGUGUAAGAGUGCAGAAGAGUAAGGUCUCAAGGCCAUACAAGCAAGCAGAAUUUGAAAUCAUAUUCGGAGAGGGAGUAAGCAAAUUGGGAUGCAUUUUAGAUUGUGCUGAAAUGAUGGAUGUUGUCACAAAGAAGGGCUCUUGGUACAGCUAUGGGGACCAUAGGCUGGGGCAAGGCAGAGAUAGAGCAUUACAAUACUUGAGAGACAACCCUGUUCUACGUGACGAAAUCGAGAAGAUAGCUCGGUCUAUGAUCGCGGAUGGAACCGAACAUUUGAGCUCAACUCAUGUGAAGAGCUUGUCAUUUCCUUCCCAAGAUGAAGAUAUUUAUGAGGAGGUAUGACGGGAUUGAACUAACUGGUCUUUACCACAAGGCCUUGGCAAUCAACUGCAAAGGUACUCGGAAUUUAGUUUCGCCAUCGUGCAUUGGGCCCAAAACAGAGAGUUUUCAUGCCUUUCAGAAGGAAGGAGGGAUCAAGGAGCAGGCCAUACCCCUGGUUGGUAUAACUUGUGCCACCAACUCACAAGGGCAAAACCAAGAGAAUCUUUUAAGGGUUAAAAAUGAAAUAUCAUCAUUACAAGGACUAAACUCCAAAUUUAUCAUUUUGGGGGCCAACCCUCUACCUAACACUUAUGAGUCAUGAUCGAAGACUUUGCAAGUACAUAUACAUCCUAUCUAAUGUAUUAUCUAUAUACACGUAUGCAUGUAUGUGCGUGUAUAAUUUACACAAUAAAAACUGAGUUUGUGAUGUGUGAUUGCUAUUUAUAAAUUAUAAUUAAAUGACAA